GUGCUCGCUUUGGCAGCACAUAUACUUUAAAUUGGAACGAUACAGAGAAAAUUAGCAUGGCCCUGCACAAGGAUGACAGACAAAUUCAUGAAGCGUUCCAUAUUUAA